GACGAACGCUGGCGGCGUGCUUAACACAUGCAAGUCGAACGGAAAGGCCCUGCUUUCGUGGGGUGCUCGCGUGGCGAACGGGUGAGUAACACGUGAGUAACCUGCCCUUGACUUUGGGAUAACUUCAGGAAACUGGGGCUAAUACCGGAUAGGAGCUCCUGCUGCAUGGUGGGGGUUGGAAAGUUUCGGCGGUUGGGGAUGGACUCGCGGCUUAUGAGCUUGUUGGUGGGGUAGUGGCUUACCAAGGCUUUGACGGGUAGCCGGCCUGAGAGGGUGACCGGCCACAUUGGGACUGGGAUACGGCCCAUACUGCUACGGGAGGCAGGAGUGGGGAAUAUUGCACGAUGGGCGGAAGCCGGAUGGAGCAACGCCGCGUGCGGGAUGACGGCAUUCUGGUUGUAAACCGCUUUCGCCUGUGACGAAGCGUGAGUGACGGUAAUGGGUAAAGAAGCACCGGCUAAUUACGU
rnacentral:rRNA from 1 species